rnacentral:lncRNA from 1 species
ACUCACUGUCCCAAGUACUGUUAUUCUCUCUCUCUAAAAAGAUUCAAUGCAGAAGAGGCAUGGGUUAUGCAAAAAUAUACGAGGAAAUAAAAAGGGGCAAGUGCCCGGAACCUCGGAAAAAGAAAGAAAAAGAGUGAGACGAGAGGUAAAAAUGGACAAGUGUCCGAAGUAGAAUUAGGGGUAUCUACUACCCACCUGAAAAAAAAGAGAGAAAGAUUGCCCAUGUUCUCCCAAAGCAAAGAUCAAAGAAGAUAAGAGAUAGCAAUAUG